AACGAACGCUGGCGGCAUGCCUAACACAUGCAAGUCGAACGAGACCUUCGGGUCUAGUGACGCACGGGUGCGUAACGCGUGGGAACCUGCCCUUAGGUUCGGAAUAACUCCCCGAAAGGGGUGCUAAUACCGGAUAAUGUCUUCGGACCAAAGAUUUAUCGCCUUUGGAUGGGCCCGCGUUGGAUUAUCUAGUUGGUAGGGUAAAAGCCUACCAAGGCGACGAUCCAUAGCUGGUCUGAGAGGAUGAUCAGCCACACUGGGACUGAGACACGGCCCAGACUCCUACGGGAGGCAGCAGUGGGGAAUAUUGGACAAUGGGCGAAAGCCUGAUCCAGCCAUGCCGCGUGAGUGAUGAAGGCCUUAGGGUUGUAAAGCUCUUUUACCCGGGAUGAUAAUGACAGUACCGGGAGAAUAAGCUCCGGCUAACUCCGUG
rnacentral:rRNA from 1 species